rnacentral:rRNA from 1 species
AGUGAACGCUGGCGGUAGGCCUAACACAUGCAAGUCGAACGGCAGCACAGUAAGAGCUUGCUCUUACGGGUGGCGAGUGGCGGACGGGUGAGGAAUACAUCGGAAUCUACUUUUUCGUGGGGGAUAACGUAGGGAAACUUACGCUAAUACCGCAUACGACCUACGGGUGAAAGCAGGGGAUCUUCGGUCCUUGCGCGAUUGAAUGAGCCGAUGUCGGAUUAGCUAGUUGGCGGGGUAAAGGCCCACCAAGGCGACGAUCCGUAGCUGGUCUGAGAGGAUGAUCAGCCACACUGGAACUGAGACACGGUCCAGACUCCUACGGGAGGCAGCAGUGGGGAAUAUUGGACAAUGGGCGCAAGCCUGAUCCAGCCAUACCGCGUGGGUGAAGAAGGCCCUCGGGUUGUAAAGCCCUUUUGUUGGGAAAGAAAAGCAGCAGGUUAAUACCCCGCUGUUCUGACGGUACCCAAAGAAUAAGCACCGGCUAACUUCGUG